rnacentral:rRNA from 1 species
UACGUAGGGUCCGAGCGUUGUCCGGAAUUAUUGGGCGUAAAGGGCUCGUAGGCGGUUUGUCGCGUCGGGAGUGAAAUCCACUGGCUUAACUGGUGGCUUGCUUUCGAUACGGGCAGACUGGAGGUAUGCAGGGGAGAGUGGAAUUCCCGGUGUAGCGGUGAAAUGCGCAGAUAUCAGGAAGAACACCCGUGGCGAAGGCGGUUCUCUGGGACGGUACUGACGCUGAGACGCGAAAGCGUGGGGAGCGAACAGG